AGAGUUUGAUCCUGGCUCAGGACAAACGCUGGCGGCGUGCCUAAUGCAUGCAAGUCGUACGGGCCCGCAAGGGUCAGUGGCAAACGGGUGAGUAACACGUGGGUAACCUGCCGAGGAGUGGGGAAUAACCCCCUGAAAGGGGGGCUAAUACCGCAUGAAGUGACGGGGCCUUGGCCCUGUCCCCAAAGCCCGCAAGGGCGCUCCUUGAGGGGCCUGCGGCUGAUUAGCUAGUUGGUGGGGUAAAGGCCUACCAAGGCGAUGAUCGGUAGCCGGUCUGAGAGGAUGUACGGCCACACUGGGACUGCGACACGGCCCAGACUCCUACGGGAGGCAGCAGCAAGGGAUAUUGCGCAAUGGGCGAAAGCCUGACGCAGCGACGCCGCGUGGGUGAUGAAGGCCUUCGGGUCGUAAAGCCCUUUUGCUGGGGAAGACAAGGACGGUACCCAGCGAAUAAGCCCCGGCUAACUACGUGCCAGCAGCCGCGGUAAUACGUAGGGGGCGAGCGUUGUCCGGAAUUACUGGGCGUAAAGAGCACGUAGGCGGUUCGUUAAGUCGGGUGUGAAAUCCCUCGGCCUAACCGGGGGGGGUCAUCCGAUACUGGCGGACUUGAGGGAGGCAGAGGGAAGCGGAAUUCCCGGAGUAGUGGUGAAAUGCGUAGAUACCGGGAGGAACACCAGUGGCGAAGGCGGCUUCCUGGGCUUCUCCUGACGCUGAGGUGCGAAGGCGUGGGGAGCGAACCGAAUUAGAUACUCGGGUAGUCCACGCGGUAAACGAUGGACACUGGGUGUUGGGGGUAGCGACCCCCCCAGCGCCGUAGCUAACGCGAUAAGUGUCCCGCCUGGGGAGUACGGCCGCAAGGCUAAAACUCAAAGGAAUUGACGG
rnacentral:rRNA from 1 species